rnacentral:snRNA from 1 species
AGAUGUGAGGGUGACCUGGCCGAGACAUCCAUCAUCCUGCUGGUCACCAAGACUACUUCUGCUGACCCACACUGCUAGGCCAGGGUCCAGCUUCCUCCUCUCCGUCCCACAUACAGCCCUCCUGAAGACACACGGGCCCUCGGAGAGAACAGCCCUCUCUAUCAGACUGCUCUUUGGCAAGGGUGUGCACGUAGCUGCAUUCCUAUGCUUGACCCUCCAAACAAACUCUUGUUUGUCUGACACACAGUCUCUCUGUGUAGCCCUUAACGUCCUGGAACUUGCACACGGACCAGGCUGGGAUUAGGAUCUCUUUAUACAAGAAACAUU